CGAACACGGAAGUUAAGCUCUUCAGCGCCGAUGGUAGUCGGGGGUUUCCCCCUGUGAGAGUAGGACGCCGCCAAGC
rnacentral:rRNA from 1 species